rnacentral:rRNA from 1 species
AAUGAACGCUGGCGGCAUGCCUUACACAUGCAAGUCGAACGGCAGCAUGACCUAGCUUGCUUGGUUGAUGGCGAGUGGCGAACGGGUGAGUAAUGCAUCGGAACGUUCCUUUUAGUGGGGGAUAACGUAGCGAAAGUUACGCUAAUACCGCAUAUUCUCUGAGGAGGAAAGCAGGGGACCUUCGGGCCUUGCGCUAGAAGAGCGGCCGAUGUCGGAUUAGCUAGUUGGUGAGGUAAAGGCUCACCAAGGCAACGAUCCGUAGCGGGUCUGAGAGGAUGAUCCGCCACACUGGGACUGAGACACGGCCCAGACUCCUACGGGAGGCAGCAGUGGGGAAUUUUGGACAAUGGGCGCAAGCCUGAUCCAGCCAUGCCGCGUGAGUGAAGAAGGCCUUCGGGUUGUAAAGCUCUUUCGGCUGGGAAGAAAUCGCACCCUCUAAUACAGGGUGUGGAUGACGGUACCAGCAUAAGAAGCACCGGCUAACUACGUG